AACUGCAUCCAAAACUAACUCACUAGAGUACGAUAGAGGGAGGUAGAAUUCAUAGUGUAGCGGUGGAAUGCGUAGAUAUUAUGAAGAAUACCAGUGGCGAAGGCGGCCUCCUGGAUCUGUACUGACACUAAGGUGCGAAAGCGUGGGUAGCGAACAGGAUUAGAUACCCUGGUAGUCCACGCCGUAAACGAUGACAACUAGCUGUUGGGAGACAAUGUCUUUCAGUGGCGCAGCUAACGUUUUAAGUUGUCCGCCUGGGGAGUACGGCCGCAAGGCUAAAACUCAAAUGAAUUGACGGGGACCCGCACAAGCGGUGGAGCAUGUGGUUUAAUUCGAUGCAACGCGAAAAACCUUACCUACUCUUGACAUACUUGGAAGCUCUUGUAAUGAGAGUGUGCCUUUUGGAGCCAAGAUACAGGUGCUGCAUGGCUGUCGUCAGCUCGUGUCGUGAGAUGUUCCGUUAAGUCGGAUAACGAGCGCAACCCUUACCCUUAUUUGCCAGCGAUUCGGUCGGGAACUAUAAGGGGACUGCCGGUGAUAAACCGGAGGAAGGUGAGGACGACGUCAAGUCAUCAUGGCCCUUACGAGUAGGGCUACACACGUGCUACAAUGGGGAAUACAGACGGACGCUAAGCCGCGAGGUGGUGCUAAUCCUAUAAAGUUCUUCGUAGUCCGGAUUGGAGUCUGCAACUCGACUCCAUGAAGUCGGAAUCGCUAGUAAUCGCGAAUCAGCAUGUCGCGGUGAAUACGUUCUCGGGUCUUGUACACACCGCCCGUCACACCAUGGAAGUGGAUUGCACCAGAAGUAGAUAGUCUAACCUUCGGGAGGGCGUUUACCACGGUGUGCUUCAUGACUGGGGUGAAGUCGUAACAAGGUAACCGUA
rnacentral:rRNA from 1 species